UGAGGAAUAUUGGUCAAUGGGCGAGAGCCUGAACCAGCCAAGUCGCGUGAAGGAAGACUGCCCGCAAGGGUUGUAAACUUCUUUUGUAUGGGAUUAAAGUCACCUACGUGUAGGUGUUUGCAGUUACCAUAGGAAUAAGGACCGGCUAAUUACGUGCCAGCAGCCGCGGUAAUACGUAAGGUCCGAGCGUUGUCCGGAAUCAUUGGGCGUAAAGGGUACGUAGGCGGGUAAGCAAGUUAGAAGUGAAAUCCUGUAGCUCAACUACAGUAAGCUUUUAAAACUGCUCAUCUUGAGAUAUGGAAGGGAAAGUGGAAUUCCUAGUGUAGCGGUGAAAUGCGCAGAUAUUAGGAGGAAUACCGGUGGCGAAGGCGACUUUCUGGCCAUAAUCUGACGCUGAGGUACGAAAGCGUGGGUAGCAAACAGG
rnacentral:rRNA from 1 species